AAUAAUCUAGUGCAGUGGUCUCAAGGUGUGGUGUCAAAAACCAGCAGCAGCAUCACCCCCUGGAAAUUUGUUAGAAAUGCAGAUUCUCAGGCUCCACUCCAGACCUACUGAAUCAGAGACUCAGUAUCAGUAUUUAAUCUAUGGAGGAAUUCUACUCUAGAAAUGCUAUUUCUCUCCCCCGAAGAAGAAUGGGACCUUGAAGGACCUACUGGGACUAGUCAUUCAACCUUGGUGUGGGCCUGCCCACUUCUCCGGGACCAGACUGGGCCACCUCCUGAGAACCACAGAUGUGCCACGCCUUCAGGAACCCCAUCACAUGCUGUCCGAGGAGGAAGGAAGAGGGGUUGAGUGUGCUGACACACAGAGUAACAGGCUGUUUAGGAGAGAGGGUGGAAGAAGACGUCUCACAUAUGUGUGAUGCUCAUGAUAUGGCACAGAGGAGAACAGGACGACUGGCCACAACCUCAUACUAGACAGUUGGGAACCAAGGCCUGUGAGUGCUGGUGAUUUGUCUGGAGGCUCCCAAAUAUUUCUGGAGAAAAGGGCAUGAAAUCUCAGUCUAGAAAUGGACUCCCCCUCCUGUUCACUGACCAAGUGGAGCCCACCUUCAGCACACUGCUCCCCAACUCAGCCCACACAGACUUUCUAAAAGAUGUUCACAUGCAUACCCAACCACACACAUUAACAACCACUGUUGGGCUUCUCACAGCAAAGGUGGGAGACUCCUGCUCAGUCCUCUGCCAUCGCCACCUCCCUUCAGCACAAACCAUUGUUAAGUU
rnacentral:lncRNA from 1 species